rnacentral:rRNA from 1 species
UUAAGCGACUAAGCGUACACGGUGGAUGCCCUGGCAGUCAGAGGCGAUGAAGGACGUGCUAAUCUGCGAAAAGCGUCGGUAAGGUGAUAUGAACCGUUAUAGCCGGCGAUGUCCGAAUGGGGAAACCCAGUGCAAUUCGUUGCACUAUCGUUAACUGAAUACAUAGGUUAACGAGGCGAACCGGGGGAACUGAAACAUCUAAGUACCCCGAGGAAAAGAAAUCAACCGAGAUUCCCCCAGUAGCGGCGAGCGAACGGGGAGCAGCCCAGAGUCUGAAUCAGCUUGUGUGUUAGUGGAACGGUCUGGAAAGUCCGACGGUACAGGGUGAUAGUCCCGUACACCAAAAUGCACAGGUUGUGAACUCGAAGAGUAGGGCGGGACACGUGGUAUCCUGUCUGAAUAUGGGGGGACCAUCCUCCAAGGCUAAAUACUCCUGACUGACCGAUAGUGAACCAGUACCGUGAGGGAAAGGCGAAAAGAACCCCGGCGAGGGGAGUGAAAAAGAACCUGAAACCGUGUACGUACAAGCAGUGGGAGCACCUUCGGGUGUGACUGCGUACCUUUUGUAUAAUGGGUCAGCGACUUAUAUUCUGUAGCAAGGUUAACCGUAUAGGGGAGCCGCAGGGAAACCGAGUCUUAACUGGGCGUUAAGUUGCAGGGUAUAGACCCGAAACCCGGUGAUCUAGCCAUGGGCAGGUUGAAGGUUGGGUAACACUAACUGGAGGACCGAACCGACUAAUGUUGAAAAAUUAGCGGAUGACUUGUGGCUGGGGGUGAAAGGCCAAUCAAACCGGGAGAUAGCUGGUUCUCCCCGAAAGCUAUUUAGGUAGCGCCUCGUGAACUCAUCUUCGGGGGUAGAGCACUGUUUCGGCUAGGGGGUCAUCCCGACUUACCAACCCGAUGCAAACUACGAAUACCGAAGAAUGUUAUCACGGGAGACACACGGCGGGUGCUAACGUCCGUCGUGAAGAGGGAAACAACCCAGACCGCCAGCUAAGGUCCCAAAGUCAUGGUUAAGUGGGAAACGAUGUGGGAAGGCACAGACAGCCAGGAUGUUGGCUUAGAAGCAGCCAUCAUUUAAAGAAAGCGUAAUAGCUCACUGGUCGAGUCGGCCUGCGCGGAAGAUGUAACGGGGCUAAACCAUGCACCGAAGCUGCGGCAGCGACACUAUGUGUUGUUGGGUAGGGGAGCGUUCUGUAAGCCUGCGAAGGUGUGCUGUGAGGCAUGCUGGAGGUAUCAGAAGUGCGAAUGCUGACAUAAGUAACGAUAAAGCGGGUGAAAAGCCCGCUCGCCGGAAGACCAAGGGUUCCUGUCCAACGUUAAUCGGGGCAGGGUGAGUCGACCCCUAAGGCGAGGCCGAAAGGCGUAGUCGAUGGGAAACAGGUUAAUAUUCCUGUACUUGGUGUUACUGCGAAGGGGGGACGGAGAAGGCUAUGUUAGCCGGGCGACGGUUGUCCCGGUUUAAGCAUGUAGGCUGGUUAUCCAGGCAAAUCCGGAUAAUCAAGGCUGAGGUGUGAUGACGAGGCACUACGGUGCUGAAGUAACAAAUGCCCUGCUUCCAGGAAAAGCCUCUAAGCAUCAGGUAACAUCAAAUCGUACCCCAAACCGACACAGGUGGUCAGGUAGAGAAUACCAAGGCGCUUGAGAGAACUCGGGUGAAGGAACUAGGCAAAAUGGUGCCGUAACUUCGGGAGAAGGCACGCUGGUGUGUAGGUGAAGUCCCUGCGGAUGGAGCUGAGACCAGUCGAAGAUACCAGCUGGCUGCAACUGUUUAUUAAAAACACAGCACUGUGCAAACACGAAAGUGGACGUAUACGGUGUGACGCCUGCCCGGUGCCGGAAGGUUAAUUGAUGGGGUUAUCCGUAAGGAGAAGCUCUUGAUCGAAGCCCCGGUAAACGGCGGCCGUAACUAUAACGGUCCUAAGGUAGCGAAAUUCCUUGUCGGGUAAGUUCCGACCUGCACGAAUGGCGUAAUGAUGGCCAGGCUGUCUCCACCCGAGACUCAGUGAAAUUGAACUCGCUGUGAAGAUGCAGUGUACCCGCGGCAAGACGGAAAGACCCCGUGAACCUUUACUAUAGCUUGACACUGAACAUUGAGCCUUGAUGUGUAGGAUAGGUGGGAGGCUUUGAAGCGUGGACGCCAGUCUGCGUGGAGCCAACCUUGAAAUACCACCCUUUAAUGUUUGAUGUUCUAACGUUGGCCCCUUACCGGGGUUGCGGACAGUGUCUGGUGGGUAGUUUGACUGGGGCGGUCUCCUCCCAAAGCGUAACGGAGGAGCACGAAGGUUAGCUAAUCCUGGUCGGACAUCAGGAGGUUAGUGCAAUGGCAUAAGCUAGCUUGACUGCGAGCGUGACGGCGCGAGCAGGUGCGAAAGCAGGUCAUAGUGAUCCGGUGGUUCUGAAUGGAAGGGCCAUCGCUCAACGGAUAAAAGGUACUCCGGGGAUAACAGGCUGAUACCGCCCAAGAGUUCAUAUCGACGGCGGUGUUUGGCACCUCGAUGUCGGCUCAUCACAUCCUGGGGCUGAAGUAGGUCCCAAGGGUAUGGCUGUUCGCCAUUUAAAGUGGUACGCGAGCUGGGUUUAGAACGUCGUGAGACAGUUCGGUCCCUAUCUGCCGUGGGCGCUGGAGAAUUGAGGGGGGCUGCUCCUAGUACGAGAGGACCGGAGUGGACGCAUCACUGGUGUUCGGGUUGUCAUGCCAAUGGCACUGCCCGGUAGCUAAAUGCGGAAGAGAUAAGUGCUGAAAGCAUCUAAGCACGAAACUUGCCCCGAGAUGAGUUCUCCCUGAGACUUUAAGUCUCCUGAAGGAACGUUAAAGACGAUGACGUUGAUAGGCCGGGUGUGUAAGCGCAGCGAUGCGUUGAGCUAACCGGUACUAAUGAACCGUGAGGCUUAACCUU